AGCAGCAGCAGCAGCAGCAGCAGUACUCGCAGAAGCAGUAGCAGCACGAGCAGCUGAGUGUCUCAAUCGUGCAUUUACCCGCUGCUGCUGUCGGAAUUUCUGCAGUCAUUUAACAAUCAUUUGGUGUAUCGAUCUGCCUCGCGCGGCAUAGUGUCUCAGUCACGUUUUCGCCGUUGUUAUUGGUGUUGUUAUUGUUAAUAUUGUUAUUGCUAAUCAUUUAAAUGUUGAUAUUGUUAUUGUUUACAGCAGCUAGUCAAUAGCAGUAGUGGUAGUAGUUAAUAAUAGAAGUGGCGAUGCGAGUCGUAUUGUUAUACACGAUAUGUUAAUGGUGGAGACUGAAGGUAGAUCACUCGAUUUAUACAUCAGGACGGUAACUAAUCGAUAACUGUUCAGUGGAUUAUCGAUAUUGCAUAUGACGAAUCAUAGUGAAAGAAGUUUUUGCGGUAUUCGCCCUUGUCCUUUGGAAUAAUGUGAAAUGUGAACAAGUGAAUUUUUUUAUAACUCUGCAAACAUUCCCAGCAGUAUUCAAGAGGAAGGACUAACAUUAAGAUGUGGCCAACUGGUGGGAGGUUGGUAAAAGAGGACCAGAGUUCCACUGGCGGAUGAAACUGAAAGGCGACUGAUCGUCAAGCAUAGAUUGACAUUCAAGCUAAAGUUAAUCUCAUGCUGAACGACAGAAGGUUUGAUGAUGAAACGGGUGCCGACCCAGAACGCAACGGAAAUGGAGUUCCUACUUCGAUUUAUACUCAGGUCCCUCAUCUUGAGUCAACGAUGGACUCUUUCACAUAUGACCCAUCGCUUGUCACGGUUGGAAACAUGUCGAACCUUGGGAACCUUGGUAGCCUGGGCAAUAAAGAAGUUCGUUAUGCUUCAUUCUCAACAGUUCCAGCUUCGCUACCAUCGAUGCUUCCGCCACCGUUGCCACCACCCCCACCACCUCUUCCUCUUCACAUGCAACAACGCAUUUAUUCGCGUUCCAUGACAUCCUUACCACCGGAGCCUUUCAUGCUGAUGCGUUCAAAAGCUUUGAACAGAAGAGUCUGCAUUAAUGUCGGUGGUGUUAAACACGAAGUUCUUUGGCGUACUCUGGAAAGACUGCCUCACACUCGUCUCGGACGUCUCCGAGACUGCAAUACUCACGAAGCAAUAACUGAGCUUUGUGACGAUUACUCGCUUAUAGACAACGAAUUUUUUUUCGAUCGACAUCCCAAGUCGUUUAGCUCAAUAUUAAAUUUCUACAGGACUGGGAAACUCCAUUUAGUUGACGAGAUGUGCGUUCUAGCAUUCAGCGAUGACUUAGAGUACUGGGGUAUCGACGAGCUUUAUCUCGAAAGCUGCUGCCAGCACAAAUACCACCAACGGAAGGAGCACGUUCACGAGGAAAUGAGAAAAGAGGCCGAGUCUCUUCGGCAACGAGAGGAGGAGGAAUUCGGGGAAGGAAAAUGUGCGCAAUAUCAAAAAUGUCUCUGGGAUCUUCUCGAAAAACCAACAACCUCUAUAGCUGCCAGGGUGAUAGCUGUGAUAUCAAUACUCUUUAUUGUGCUAUCAACCAUCGCAUUAACUCUCAACACCAUUCCUAGUAUGCAAGUGAAUGACGAAAAAGGAAACUUUCAAGACAAUCCACAACUUGCAAUGGUGGAAGCGGUUUGCAUCACUUGGUUUACACUUGAGUAUGUACUUAGGUUCAGUGCCUCCCCUGACAAGUGGAAGUUCUUUAAGGGAGGCCUAAACGUAAUAGACCUUCUCGCAAUACUUCCUUACUUCGUGUCUCUAUUCCUCGUCGAAACAAACAAGAACGCAACGGACCAAUUCCAGGAUGUGCGUCGUGUAGUUCAGAUAUUUCGUAUAAUGCGCAUUUUGAGGAUACUGAAGCUUGCACGCCAUUCAACCGGGCUCCAAAGCUUGGGCUUUACGUUACGUAAUUCAUACAAAGAGCUCGGCCUGUUGAUGCUAUUUCUUGCAAUGGGCGUCUUGAUAUUCUCAAGUCUCGCUUAUUUUGCCGAAAAGGAAGAACCUGGAACUAAAUUCAUAAGCAUUCCCGAGACAUUUUGGUGGGCAGGAAUCACCAUGACAACCGUAGGCUAUGGAGAUAUUUACCCAACUACUCCCCUCGGCAAAGUGAUUGGAAGUGUAUGUUGUAUAUGUGGUGUCCUGGUAAUUGCGUUACCCAUUCCAAUUAUCGUCAAUAAUUUUGCCGAGUUCUACAAGAAUCAGAUGAGGCGCGAAAAAGCACUGAAGCGCCGAGAGGCUUUGGAAAGGGCGAAGCGAGAAGGAAGCAUUGUUUCCUUCCACCACAUCAACCUGAGGGACGCCUUCGCUAAGAGUAUAGAUCUCAUCGACGUCAUCGCUGACACGGGUCAGAACAUGUCGGGAAUAGAUGGAAACAGCACGGAGGGUGAAUCCGCGUGUGGUCGAGGCCCUGCGCAGACUGGUGCGGGAUGCUACCGUAACUACGAGCAUUGCAGCAUAUCUACUCAUCGCCGAAGCGCCUCAACGUGCUUGCCAACAUUGCCGAAUGAUCUGUCAACCCCGGAGAGUCCGAACCAUCGUCUGCUUGACUUUGCCACCAGUUCAUCACCUAAUAGGAACGAUCACUAUUUCCAAGAUGAUAUUCCAAUCCAGCCAUCAACUCAAGGGAAUACCACUCCUAGUGAUGAAGAGAAGAAGGAUUCCAGAAAAUUUGACAAAAUUGAAGAACUGCCUAGUGAAUUCGAAUGCUGUUUCUGUACUACUAAGGCGUAUAAGGAUUUUAGAGAUGCUGAGAAUCUCAUGCCUUUGGCUACAAGUGAUUUCCGGAAUCCAGUUUGCCAGGAACUGAGAGCCCUGCGCGACAGCAAUGCAGAAUCAAACAGUUUCGGAUACAAUCAGAAUUCACCAAAUCAAGACAAUUACUCGAAUUCAUGUUUUAAAAAUAAUAACGAGUCAUGCAGCGCGGACAGCACGGAUACCUUUGCCAGUUGCCACACACAUUUUUUCAAUUCUCAAGGUGACCUCACGGAGGAAGGUGAUAGUAACUUGUACAUAAACCCAUUGGAAAGUACAGACAAGUGCAACAGCUGUCAUCGUCAACAGUCCACUUCAACGAACACGACGAAGUCUACGACAACAGGCGUUCUGCUACACAUAUCCAAUGUACAAUCUUCCGAGCAGCCCGCGCAGACAUUAAAUCCACCGAAUGAAGAUGGCAAAGAAAAUUUCAGCGAUACCUCUGUACCUAAGCAUAAGAAAACUCGGAUUCAACAAAGCGGAAAGCAACGCACCCAUUUUGGCGUUAAUCCUGAUUCUUUAUCGAGUAUUGUUGGAGUCUCGACGGAAAAUACUGUCACAGGAGAUAACAAUAACCAAUACGGACUGAUCGACAGCCUCAGAAAUGGCAUCCUGACACCAGCAGAUUACUUUGCCUCUCCAUCCCGAGUGAUUAACCAUCAUUUGUUUGGAAAUGUUGGUGGCUUGAAACAUUCCUACUCUGGGAAAUCUAUUGGAAGUAAGCUGUCCUUAUCCAGCAACUCGAUAGAUAGUGAAACAAUGCCGUUUUUAGACCGGCACCGUGUUUCCAAAUCAAUUCUAAAAAAAUCAGAUAUCAGCAAUGUUCGAUACAACAACGGCUGGGACUCAGAUAAGGAAAAACUGAUAUCAGAAAAUACGUCUGCUACCAGCGUGUAUGACAGCGAAGGUGAUAUUCGGACAGAUUCGUUACUGAUAAAAGGUCCAGUCCACAAGCUGUCGCAGUCAACUGAACAACAAUCUUCUGGGAUAAUUUUCCAGACGAAGAAUGAAAGCAAUCGAAACGACGUUUCAGAUCAUAUCAGUACAAAAAACUUCACAGCUGCAUUAUCGAAAACUCUUUUUGACUCACAUAAAGAUGCACGAGACGAAAUGGUCACAGACAACAAAGUCAAAGAGUGUAACGACGAUAGUGCACAAGAGGAUUACAAAAAGAGCGAAAGUGCGACAGGGAAAAGUCAACACAAUACUCUGCUAAUUUGUCCGCCGCAGUCAAACGAUGAAAAUAUUAGGGAAAAUAGCAUCCAUCGUGAAAGGAAGAAGCCGACACCGAAUAAACCGAACACGAAUCAAACCACCGCUAUUCGUUUGAACACAAAUUCAAACUGUUGUAGCUUCGCUACGUAGCAGAGAAGUCGUUACGUAUAUGUGUAAUAAAGAAUGGAAUUAAUCUACAAGGGAGACUGGAAGUUCUGAUAUCUCCUUAAGGCAAGACCCUAGUGAAAUUUGAAAAUUCGACUUUCUAACAUUUUGGAUGGGUAAAUCCGGAGCACUUUGGUAAAAUAUGGUUGUGGCGUCAGUAGCUAUUAUUAUUAUUAUUAUUAUCUUCAAAAAUUCAGAAUAAAAGUCAAGUAAAAGUAAAAGAGAGAAAUGCAAAUGAUUUUCGCAUGGUUGUAAAUUUAUAGUAAGAUAACUUGAAACAAGAUCAAGAUUACUAUAUAUAUAUUGUUUUACACGAAACUGUCCACACAUAGUAAGAUUAACUAGGUAUCCUUGACAGGUCAACUGUAACAUCAUCAUCGUAUGAGACCUAUAAAUGUAAUUCCAUUAUCCACAACUUCACAGUUGCAGUAUCAAGUGUGUGCAGGUACUCAUAAUUAUUCAUUAGUGAAUUCGUGUAUAAAUAAUCCCAGUAACAUUCAAAGCUACACUGCAAUAAAUCAUAAUAAUAACAAUAUUACUGACAUAAUUAAAGAGCUUCAUAUAAGAGGGUUGUGAAUAAUUGAGAAUCAACCGUAUAGUUUUGUAAAUGAUUUGUUUGAUUUCCAGUCCCCGUGAAACUUUAUCAUUCAAAGAAAUCACGAAAUCCAUAGAUAUCAAAAAAUCUCGACACCUUUCUUUCGAAGCCUGUAUCUCAGAAACUACUGAUUUUUGGGAAUUGUGUCCAUGAGAACUUUUGAUUGGGAGGAUAUGUCCUAUAACAUACUGAAAAUCCAGCCAAUUCGACCGGGAUCCAAUUUGCGUAAGGAUUCUGCGGGGUCUUUUAUCGUUCAACGGACCAUCCGUUGGCACCUAGUUGCCUCUAAAAUAUACAAAUCCUAACCACACCGACGCAACGCAACGAAUGCAUACAAAGGACAGAUCACACCCAUGACGGACGAACCAACACCGAGACUAAUCCUUUUGUCGUUCCGGCAUCGUCCACUGCCGCAGGACAUCGGUAUAAAUAGGAAAGCCUCGGACACGGCCGGCAGAUACAAACGUAAUUGGGUUUUCGUAAAACAUGUUCUCUGAAAAACCAAUAUAUCAUAUAAUACUAAGUAUAUGAUAUUUUAAAAAAACGAACUAUACUUACUUUAACAAAUAAUACCAUGUUCACAAAAAUUGAGUUAUGUUCAAAGGACAGGCAUCUAAAUUACGUAGAACCCGUUGUAAAACAACCAAGAAUUUAAAACAAUAAAAACCUUUGAACCUUGAACGGCGUGCAGUAGUAGGAUGGCAUAGCGCCUCUUCGACUCAUUUCACGUCGUUAAACUAUAUAAAGCUCAUCCUGAACCUGCAGCCUAAUUUAGCUUAAUUUAUACAUAGGCGAACCCCCUUUUCGAAGUAACAAUAGAAAUAAUAAAAAGGGAGUAAUGCAUACACGGAGAGACAUUUUAUAGAAAGAUUUAUUAAAAUCACGACCAGAUUUUACUAUUCUUUCUCACAGUCUGGGGACAUAUCGGCAUUUUAUCAUAAACUCCUAUGUUGCGUGGUAAUUCUCAAGGUUACCAAUUGUUAUAGGAAUCUAACCUACAAAACUUUUCAUUUCUAUAUGUAUAUAUAUUAUGGGGAUCACACGGCAGAUAUUAUAUUUACAUCACAUUUGAUAAUUAGAGGGUUACGUCAGCCCCCUGACACACGCUGCUAAAAGUGGUUCGCAAAAUUUCUCUCGAUCCUGCCGCCAAUCUCCACCACUAGUGGCGCUAGUAGUUGUCUGACAAGCUUGCGCGCAGUCAGCGAGGGCAGCAAGCGUGUCAGAAGUCUACUAGCGCCACGUAGAGGAACUGAAAAACGGGGAAAAAAAGCGUACAAUUUUUUAGUAUACGAGCAGUGAUGAGUGUCAGGGGGCUGGGGUACGUAUUCAGUUCUUCGACUCACUGAACUUAACCUUACGUAUUCUAGUUACAUAUUCAUGUUAUAAAUGUGGUUAGGUAUUACCUGAUGAUAACUUGCAGCGCUAGCGAGAAUCCAUGUAUCAGUCUGUAUCGGCGCAGGCGAAGUGAACCCCGCGAAAUUUAAAUCUCAUAAAAAAAACAAUGGUUGUCAUGGAUUAAGCUGCGAUGCUCGGCGAUUAUCGGAUGUACUUGAAAAUUUUCGGCGAUGAAUUUGCUAUUCUCGCUGGGAAUCUUUGUAAUACAAGUUCUCGACUUGUAUUAUAUUUUGAUGCAGUCAGUCCAAGAUGUAUUACAUAUACCGUUGACGAAUAUUCUUCAGUCAACGCAUCUACUCUACAUUCCUGUUUGGUAUGGGAAAUUCACCAGUAUUUUACCGAAGAAGUAUUAAAUUGCGGGUUCAUUAUUCCCAUUUCUUCAGUAUCACUUAAUAAUACGGGUACUUCCUUUUACUACUUUCAUUUUUACUAUUUACGGAUUACAAACAUUAGCGCUCGUUCAUUACAUGUUGCUCUGGUCGACUAGUAAAACGACGUAUUCGGAUAUCAGCUUUUCCUUUCACCAUAAGAAAUAUUGCAAAAAAUGCUGAUAUAUCCCUAAAAUUCCAGUAAGUAUAGGGCUUGAAUCAAUUGGUCUCUUCGUGUGAUGAUGAAUAAUUUGGUAGAAAAUUUAACGUCGUAUAAGAAUUUAGCAGCGUAAUUGAAAAAUGACGUAUUUUAUGAUUUGCUUUAUCAAUUUUUUUCUCCUUAUAUUCUUACAUGUGCGUGCGGCACCCCUGUUGCCACAACUUUGUAAAUAUCUGAAUAACUUUUGUUUUGAUUAUUUAUUGCUUUACACUAGCUUGCUUGUUUAUUUGCUAACAUUUUGUGAAUUGCAUUAGAAUCAAACAAUUGAGCAGGGAGCAGCAACGGACUACAUCUCGCGUCUGCAAGGCAGGAAGUAAAAUCAAGAACUAGACACUUUACGGGUAUAAAAAGCCACUAUUAGCGGAGGGACUACGGCAACGUUUUGAUAAUCUACGUCCGUGAACGUAGUGUUAAGCCCAGAGCACAGGAAAUGCAGUAAGCCCUGUGCCGUUACACACACAAGCCGGAGACGCGCUGUCCGUACACCACUACAUCGCUGUGAUUAGCUGGCGCUAUGUAUUGGUGCACGAACAGCGCGUUCCCAGCUCAUCUGUCCGACGCCGCGACGGUACACAACUUACUGCAUUUCAUGCGCUCUAGCCUUAGCUUGGCGACGCGACGGUCACGGCAAGUCAAAACUCAUUUUCUGGACAGCAGCGGCGUAACCGCCUUCGUCUGCUUAGAGACACGGACGACAAGCCAAUACACCCGAGUCUGCACAAGGUAGCAACGGAGUGAUAUCCCGCGUCAACUAUAAUACAGAUAAACAAAGGCGAGAACUUUUGACAGACAAGAGUAUAUUGUGUAACAAGGAGACAAACUUGAUCUUUUCGGGCCGAACUAUGGUUUACAAUAUGAGUCGUAAGUGGCUGCAGACAAAUAUUGCAAAUACGCGAGGCGAAAAGACCGUUUCUUCUUUGUUGCACACGAUUCUUUACAAAACAAGAGCACGGUUUUACAUACAGGUCUGGAAACUCGCUCAAAAUUUCAGUGGUGAGGGUGUCCUCUUAUUGAAGCACCGGCCGUUCCGCCUAGUGAUCACGAGUGUCGUUGCUAUUGAGGGAUUCAGGAUGUGUGGGAGAGACGGAAACAGAUUUCAAAACCACGGACCAUGGAGACUAGAGUACAGGAGUCCGAUCUCCAUUGGGAAACAUACGAAAAAAUCGUCCUCGAAAAUUUGUCGUUUAGUAGUUCUAGAUUUGAUCCAAAGCAUCGCUGUCAUUGUAAAGUUCCGAAGUGAAGUUGGUAACAAUUGACUAUAUAUGUGUAUAUAAACAUCGAUUGUGACCAAAAUGAAAUUGCCCCUUAACUGAAAGGGAAUAUUCUUGGGUCUGGUCUCCCCACCACUCGUCGGAUCCUUGCGAUAUCAGGGGCGUUCAGCGUCAGCCAGCGCAAGACUUAUUGUACGGAUUUUUGAUGCUAGAUCAAACGUACGAAGCAUGGAGACCAGAGAUAGGAGCCCGAACUGCUAUGCUAAAUGGAAAGUAAAAUACGUCAUUAAAAAUUAGUCGCUGGAUGGCGCUGGAGGGCUCAAAAGGCUUCAGUCGAGUGCUCGUCUCUGGCGUCGUCCCGGCCGCCGGCGUCGUCUAAAUUCUCGCCGCCAUAUUGCUUGUGUAUACUUUAUAUACCUAGUCUCCAUGGUUUCACCCUUGGUUCCCCCCUCAUGGCUUUGUGAAUUGUGCCUCGUCGCGGUCCGCUCCCAUCUCAUACCUGCUCGAACUGGAACCGUUUGAGCCCACUAGCGCCGCCUCGUGACUAUACAUUUAUGUUCACUCAACUAAACCGCAGUUCGUGUUCCUGUCUCUAGUCUCCAUGGUACGAAGACCGGACUCCUGUACUCUAGUCUCCAUGCCACGGACGGUCAACAAUCUGUUUCCAUCUCUCUCGCACAGCCUGAAUCCCUCUAUCGCAGCGACACUCGUGGUCACUAGGCGAAACAGCCGGUGCUUCAAUAAGAGUUUCCAGACCUGUAUGUAAGACCGUGAACAAGAGUAUGUCACGGGUUUUUUCACGAAGCACAAAAUUGAGGUUACGGUCACACAAUGUCAGAUUUGUUCGCGACAACGCAUGCGCGCAGUAGAGUAAGACCACUUUUAACUCCUAAGACUUAAAAGUGGUCUUAUCUACGUAUUGUCGAUAUAACCUGUGACUUUUUUCUUUACAGACAUCACUCAAAUAAAACCUGAAAAAUCAUUUGAAUUUCUGAAAAGUCUAUGAAAUACCCCAGUUUCACCAGGGUCCUCCCUUGAGGAACGAUAUUGUCCAUGUUUACUAACAGGAAUGAUUUCUUCGAAAUUCGGCGAAAGAGAUCUGCUGAACCAAUUGUCCUUUCGUCAUUUGAUAAUUUAUAUGGAAUAGACGCAAAGUGGCACACGAAAUUCGCCAAAUCUACAAAAAUUAUUUUUUCAUCCACCGCAAACAGUAGCCAUGUGACUCGUUUUAACUAUUAUCAAAGUUACACCCCAUUGAUGUUAAAUAAACGUUUAACAGUCGUGUCCUGCAAAGAAUUUCAAAUAGAGCCGACUGAAAAUAUCUUAGUUUUAUGCUAAAGUAACAUCGAAAUGUGAAAAAUUGCAAUUCAUGAAAAUAGGUGAUUGCGUAUAGCUCAGAAACCGUGCUAAUCGGCGGUUCCCGCAUACUUGACAGAGCGUUCAGUGCGUGAAUCACUGAAAUAUGCCCUAACUGGUACGCAACAAGCCAUUUGAGUUAUCCCCCCCCCCCCAAUCUCAAUCUACAGUAAACUACAAAAAUAAAUGUAACUUGUCGCAAAUCCACCGGAUUAAAAGUAUAUUAGAUCAGAAUAAGCCUCAUAAUACGUCCAAGAAAACAUAGAAUACGAGUAUCAAUUGAACAUCCAUUUGGAAUACUCACCUUCGAUAUUUAAUGAAUCAAUUUACACCAAAGAAGUAUGAAGUAGGUAUAUUUACACUUAUACCAAAUGAACAUCCGAAACAGAGCCAAUAUUUACAGUUAUAUAUCGAUCAUACGUAAAUUUUACAAAUCUGGUGAAAAUUACAUUAUUUUGUAGUUAUUCUAGUUACAAAUUUUAAAACGACUUAUAGUGAUACGUUCACUCAACAAUUGAAUCUUUCACAUUUCACAUUUCCUUUUUUUUCUAUUGAAAAUUCAUAGGAAAUAAAAUUAAAACUUAAGUAAAAUAUUUGAGACAGAAAAUUGUUCUAAUACUAUCUACUUUUAAAGCAAUUUUCACCGAUUCCCACGAAACUAUUUCAAUAAUCAAUUGAAUUUCCCGCGACAUUUGACAAAUUGAAAACAAGCAGCAUGACCGCCUCGUAGCUUCAAUCCUUCACAAGAAAAUAACUCAGGAUACCGCAUCCUGUUAGUAUAGAUAUCAGUGGCGGAAGCCAGUGCUGCUUUGCGUAGUGCUGUCCAGCCGUAGUAGAGCUCACAAACAUGGAGUGAACAUACCGACGUUUUCCUUUAAUCCUUUAAGCCCUAGAUUACACUAAAGAUUUAUCGUAGACAAGAUUACCAAAAUACUGGUAAAAAGUGAUAUUGCACUCCAUUUGUUUGAUAUCAAUUUUUUCUGCAUCUAUUUUUCACACGGAACACUAUAAUUUUCUGAACGAAUUUUUUUCAACACGGUGUCCUGGGUAGACACUGCGCUAUCGGUGUCUCAAACACGCGUUUUCAAUAUCUUUUAAGGCCAUCAUUCAAGUACACUUCGAAAAAGCGAUCAGGUCAGACACUGCGUACAAAGUACCUGAUACUCGCAUUUUGGGGUCCGGGGUCACUUAUCGAUUUUAUACGGACUUUGAAAAUGCUAUAAGAGAAAAAUAUUGAACUUGUGCUCCGGUACUAUGACGAAAAAUCCAGUACAAAAUAACGUCAUCUAAUUGGAGAACGAUGAAAAAGGCGUAUUUGAAUCCAGUAAUGUACUACGUAUCAACCAUAUCUCCAGGAAUGUUCGGUAGGUUGUGAAUUUACAGUUAAUGGUGUACAAAUCGACUGUAAAUUGAAUUGUCGUCAAGAAAAGUAGUCAAGCGAAACUGCGAAGUUUCGAUACUUACCAGAAUUUUUGAUUCCAUUACAUUCACUGUGACGUGACGUGUUUUAUACGAUGUUUAAUUUUCGUUUUGGGUUUGUCUUGAUCUGGAUAUUUUUCAGAGCAUUCUUUGACGUAUGGUUGGCACAGCUUCGACUUUUGGUUUAUUGACAGUUACUACCAUACCUCAGGCGAACUUGCCGACGUCCUGACAACUCCAAGUCAAGUUUCCAGUUGACCACAUUAUACCACUUUAAUUUUGUUAACCCAUAGUCGACAUUCUAAUAAGUGGGCUAUCUGGGUAGGCUUUGAUAAUAGUAAGAAUAAAUCACUUGGCUACGGGAUGUACAAAAAGUAAAUUAUUACUCAAUAUCGGUGAAUAUCACAGGCUAGCGCGAACCUAUUCUCCGUAAAUCAUCAAAUUCCACAGGAUAAAUUGAUUCAUUAACAUCAUUUCGGAAUAAUUCUUGAAAAAAAAAUUGUUUCGUAUAAUUUAGCUAUCGCAUCCCAGUAAGCUGUUUUAACCCUAGUCACAUACACCUAUGGAAAUUUUCACGUUGCUUACACAGGGUCACUCAGACCCAGCCAACUUUGGAACGUUAUUACCUUAGAAAACAUUACGGUAUGCACAGUUACAACUCGAAGAAAAUUCUGAGACUACAUGUAAUAACUCAAAAAUAGACUACAAUGUUAUUUAUAGCAAAAAAAAGCGAUCGAGGAUGUGGCAGAAAUUCUUCAAGGAAAAAGAAGUGAAAAAAUACGCAAUACAGUAGAACCUCGUUUAUCUGAGGUCAUAUGAGGAGAGUAUACCUCGGAUGAGUGAAAUCUCAGAUAAUACGGAAAACAUAUACAAUCCAAGCGAUUACGACGUUUUACCCUUGACUCCAAAAUCGGAACUGUGACGUUGAUAACUCGCAAACAUCGCAAGAAACUUUUACAAAUUUAUGCAUAUUCCAAGGUUCUAACGCAGAGUGCUCGGAUGAGAUGGGCGUCUCGGAUUAUACGGAAACUCGGUUAAUCGAAGGUCGGAUAAGCAAGAUUCUACUAUACAUGCCAGGGGUCUCUAAGACCCCAUUUUUUAAAUAACUUUUUAUAUUACUUGCACAAACAAUCCUGAUUCAAGCGUGCUAACUUUAAAAUUAUACGUUAAAAUCGGUGUUGGGGCCAACUAGACCUCAUAUAUGACUAGGGUUAAACACGGAGUCACUUAACCGAUUUAAGAGUCUUUAUGAGAUUCGAUAUCAUUUCACCAUAAAACAUCGGUUGAGCUGAAAUUUUUGGUGAAGGUCAUUCAAAUUUUAAGGAGUGCGCUCUGGUCAGCCAGCGCCAAUGAAUUAUCACAUGAAUUAAAAACCUAUUAAAUUGCGAAAUAUAACCUGAAAUCUCGUCUCGGUACGAAGUAAAUAGAUUAAGAACCUGUCCGAUAUUUAUCCAGUCCAUGCUGAACAGAGCAUACUUUUUGACGAUAGCACAAUCAUUCUGCAAGCAAUUCCAAACUGAUUUGAAGAUUUGAGGAAAAAUUAAACCGAUUCUCAUGAGUACUCUUGAAUCAGUCAAGUAACCCGUUGCUCAGAAGCCUUAACAAUUGGCUUACGUAAUUUGUAAACUUUUAACUAAAGAUAGAGCAGGGACAUAUGGUUGAAAUUCUACAGGUUAGUUUUACGUUUGGAAUUUUGGCAGAUUUAUCAUGUAUGUAAAUAGGUAGGGUAUAUGUAUAGUUCUAAGAGGCAGGCUGUUCAAAUUUUACACCAAUCGCGUGUUGGGUGCGGACACAGUGUUGAAUUUGACUUCAGUUAUUCUUUCACGCUCUUGCACACUGUUCUAAAGUAUUGGCUAAGGAAUAAAUAAAUAUCGCAGAGUUUAAUAUCAUUGGGCAUUCAAAACUAAUCAGUAAAUCAAUCUGAAAAAAUAUAGUUGAAUAUACAAAUAUGACAUACAGGGUGGUCCAUCUUAAUUGCCAUAGGUGAAUAUCUCAUAAACCAGAUGAGAUUAUUUGUUUAUUUAAAAGUCCGUAUACUGUUUUGUAUCAUAUGGCACUAGCUAUUUAAAAUACGACUUUUUUGCAAUAAUAUAUUGUAAGUAAGGCAGCCAUUUCGGAAACUUUUCUCGCAGGAUAUCCUCCAAACAUGUGCCGGCCGGGCACUCGCUCAGCGCAUUAGCGGUUUCGAUUUUUAUACGUAAGCAAAGUGUCGAAAUAAAGUUAUUAUUAUUAAGCGAUUUUAACCAUUUUUGAAGAAGAGCGGUCUUCCGCUAAACUAAACGAAUACAUAUGUUGAAGGAUAAUUCAAUUGGACCGAUAUUUUAGGUAUGAAGCUAGCCCUUCUAAAUCCCAAUUGGACUGAUGCACCGCCUUAAAACAUUAUCUUCUCCCGUCGAAACCCUCCAAAUUGUGCAUAAAACUGUUGUUUCUACCAGUCUUUGGGAUAUUUGCCAAGGGUGGUAAUUAAAAUAGGCUGGCCACCCACAUGUUUCACAGCAUUCUUGUAUAGAUGAGUAGAAGAAAUUUUCAAUAAUUUCGCUAGCAAUAGUUGCGUAUAUUGUUAGUUGUGAUUCUACUGAAAAUCGUUCAAUAAAACGUUAAAAACCAUCAGAAUAAUUUCAAUAUA